rnacentral:rRNA from 1 species
GACGAACGCUGGCGGCGUGCUUAACACAUGCAAGUCGAACGGAAAGGCCCUGCUUUUGUGGGGUGCUCGAGUGGCGAACGGGUGAGUAACACGUGAGUAACCUGCCCUUGACUUUGGGAUAACUUCAGGAAACUGGGGCUAAUACCGGAUAGGAGCUCCUGCUGCAUGGUGGGGGUUGGAAAGUUUCGGCGGUUGGGGAUGGACUUGCGGCUUAUCAGCUUGUUGGUGGGGGAGUUGCUUACCAAGGCUUUGACGGGUAGCCGGCCUGAGAGGGUGACCGGCCACAAUGGGUCUGAGAGACGGCCCAGACUCCUUCGGGCUGCAGCAGGGCGGAAUUUUGCAGCAUGGGCCGAAGUCUGAUCAAGCAACGCCGCUUGCGGGAUGCCGGCCUUCGGGUUGUAAGCCGCUUUCGCCUGUGACGAAGCGUGCGUGACGGUAACGGGUAAAGAAGCACCGGCUAACUACGUG